rnacentral:lncRNA from 1 species
CUCAUUUUGUUUCUAGUGGUGUGCUGUGUUUUCCCUUUGUGUCCAGGCUCGCGUCUCUAGCACGGUCUAGGCUAGGACCAGCACAGUACCACCGUUGAGCGUUUAUUCAACUUGCUUUUUAUAACUAACGUGGUGCUAGUUCGAUCCUUGUUUCAGCCCACCUAUAGCUCCACAUAUUCUACAGCUUGAUAGGUUUUGUUGCUGCGGCACCGAUACACUUCGUCCAUUGCUGUGGAUUUGUUGGUAGCCAUUCCCUCCUGUUGAGCAAGGUA